AAACAUGCCGCGUGUUUUUUUUUUGUUUUUUUCAGUUUGGUUUUGGUUUUUUCUUUUUCUUCUU
rnacentral:ribozyme from 1 species